ensembl:misc_RNA 7SK 7SK RNA
UGACUGAGGGUGAUCUGGCUGCCAGGGUUGAUUUGGCUUUUCUGGCUGGUUAGACGAGUAUUGCCUUCCUCCCUCACUGCUCCAUGUACAUUCCUCCAGUAGCUACAGGAUCCAUAGCAGAGGACAACCAUCCCCUAACAGAGACGGACUGGUCUUCGGUGUAGGGUGUAUGAGUACCUGAGCUCCCCUGAUAGCUCCCCUCCAAUAAAGCUCUCAAGGCCCAUUUGAAGGGAACUAGGAUAGUCAAGCUUCCAAGACUCCAGAUACAUCCAAAUGAAGUGUGGCAUGUGGCAGUCUGCCUUAGUUA